UACGUAGGGUGCAAGCGUUAAUCGGAAUUACUGGGCGUAAAGCGCACGCAGGCGGUCUCUUAAGUUUGGAGUGACAGUUGGUGGCUUAACUGCCAAAGUGCUUCGAAAACUGAGAGACUUGAGGGCUUCAGAGGGACACGGAAUUCCGGGUGGAGUGGUGAAAUGCGUAGAGAUCCGGAGGAACACCAAAGGCGAAGGCAGUGUCCUGGGGAGUACCUGACGCUCAGGUGCGAAAGCCAGGGGAGCGAACGGG
rnacentral:rRNA from 1 species